rnacentral:rRNA from 1 species
CCUACGGGAGGCAGCAGUAGGGAAUCUUCCACACUUUCCUCCCUUCUGAUUGAGCAACGCCGCGUGAGUGAAGAAGGGUUUCGGCUCGUAAAGCUCUGUUGGUAGUGAAGAAAGAUAGAGGUAGUAACUGGCCUUUAUUUGACGGUAAUUACUUAGAAAGUCACGGCUAACUACGUGCCAGCAGCCGCGGUAAUACGUAGGUGGCAAGCGUUGUCCGGAUUUAUUGGGCGUAAAGCGAGUGUAGGCGGAUCAA